rnacentral:rRNA from 1 species
ACCCUUUAAUGUUUGAUGUUCUAACGUGGACCCGUGAUCCGGGUUGCGGACAGUGUCUGGUGGGUAGUUUGACUGGGGCGGUCUCCUCCUAAAGAGUAACGGAGGAGCACGAAGGUUGGCUAAUCCUGGUCGGACAUCAGGAGGUUAGUGCAAUGGCAUAAGCCAGCUUGACUGCGAGCGUGACGGCGCGAGCAGGUGCGAAAGCAGGUCAUAGUGAUCCGGUGGUUCUGAAUGGAAGGGCCAUCGCUCAACGGAUAAAAGGUACUCCGGGGAUAACAGGCUGAUACCGCCCAAGAGUUCAUAUCGACGGCGGUGUUUGGCACCUCGAUGUCGGCUCAUCACAUCCUGGGGCUGAAGUAGGUCCCAAGGGUAUGGCUGUUCGCCAUUUAAAGUGGUACGCGAGCUGGGUUUAGAACGUCGUGAGACAGUUCGGUCCCUAUCUGCCGUGGGCGCUGGAGAACUGAGGGGGGCUGCUCCUAGUACGAGAGGACCGGAGUGGACGCAUCACUGGUGUUCGGGUUGUCAUGCCAAUGGCACUGCCCGGUAGCUAAAUGCGGAAGAGAUAAGUGCUGAAAGCAUCUAAGCACGAAACUUGCCCCGAGAUGAGUUCUCCCUGAGACUUUAGGUCUCCUGAAGGAACGUUGAAGACGACGACGUUGAU